UUAAAUUGAAGAGUUUGAUCAUGGCUCAGAUUGAACGCUGGCGGCAGGCCUAACACAUGCAAGUCGAACGGUAACAGGAAUCAGCUUGCUGAUUCGCUGACGAGUGGCGGACGGGUGAGUAAUGUCUGGGAAACUGCCUGAUGGAGGGGGAUAACUACUGGAAACGGUAGCUAAUACCGCAUAACGUCGCAAGACCAAAGAGGGGGACCUUCGGGCCUCUUGCCAUCGGAUGUGCCCAGAUGGGAUUAGCUAGUAGGUGGGGUAAAGGCUCACCUAGGCGACGAUCCCUAGCUGGUCUGAGAGGAUGACCAGCCACACUGGAACUGAGACACGGUCCAGACUCCUACGGGAGGCAGCAGUGGGGAAUAUUGCACAAUGGGCGCAAGCCUGAUGCAGCCAUGCCGCGUGUAUGAAGAAGGCCUUCGGGUUGUAAAGUACUUUCAGCGGGGAGGAAGGGAGUAAAGUUAAUACCUUUGCUCAUUGACGUUACCCGCAGAAGAAGCACCGGCUAACUCCGUGCCAGCAGCCGCGGUAAUACGGAGGGUGCAAGCGUUAAUCGGAAUUACUGGGCGUAAAGCGCACGCAGGCGGUUUGUUAAGUCAGAUGUGAAAUCCCCGGGCUCAACCUGGGAACUGCAUCUGAUACUGGCAAGCUUGAGUCUCGUAGAGGGGGGUAGAAUUCCAGGUGUAGCGGUGAAAUGCGUAGAGAUCUGGAGGAAUACCGGUGGCGAAGGCGGCCCCCUGGACGAAGACUGACGCUCAGGUGCGAAAGCGUGGGGAGCAAACAGGAUUAGAUACCCUGGUAGUCCACGCCGUAAACGAUGUCGACUUGGAGGUUGUGCCCUUGAGGCGUGGCUUCCGGAGCUAACGCGUUAAGUCGACCGCCUGGGGAGUACGGCCGCAAGGUUAAAACUCAAAUGAAUUGACGGGGGCCCGCACAAGCGGUGGAGCAUGUGGUUUAAUUCGAUGCAACGCGAAGAACCUUACCUGGUCUUGACAUCCACAGAACUUUCCAGAGAUGGAUUGGUGCCUUCGGGAACUGUGAGACAGGUGCUGCAUGGCUGUCGUCAGCUCGUGUUGUGAAAUGUUGGGUUAAGUCCCGCAACGAGCGCAACCCUUAUCCUUUGUUGCCAGCGGUCCGGCCGGGAACUCAAAGGAGACUGCCAGUGAUAAACUGGAGGAAGGUGGGGAUGACGUCAAGUCAUCAUGGCCCUUACGACCAGGGCUACACACGUGCUACAAUGGCGCAUACAAAGAGAAGCGACCUCGCGAGAGCAAGCGGACCUCAUAAAGUGCGUCGUAGUCCGGAUUGGAGUCUGCAACUCGACUCCAUGAAGUCGGAAUCGCUAGUAAUCGUGGAUCAGAAUGCCACGGUGAAUACGUUCCCGGGCCUUGUACACACCGCCCGUCACACCAUGGGAGUGGGUUGCAAAAGAAGUAGGUAGCUUAACCUUCGGGAGGGCGCUUACCACUUUGUGAUUCAUGACUGGGGUGAAGUCGUAACAAGGUAACCGUAGGGGAACCUGCGGUUGGAUCACCUCCUUACCUUAAAGAA
rnacentral:rRNA from 1 species